AGUCGAACGGAAACAUGUCUAGCUUGCUAGAUGAUGUCGAGUGGCGGACGGGUGAGUAAUGCUUGGGAACUUGCCUUUGCGAGGGGGAUAACAGUUGGAAACGACUGCUAAUACCGCAUAAUGUCUACGGACCAAANNGGGCUUCGGCUCUGGCGCAAAGAGAGGCCCAAGUGAGAUUAGCUAGUUGGUGAGGUAAAGGCUCACCAAGGCAACGAUCUCUAGCUGUUCUGAGAGGAAGAUCAGCCACACUGGGACUGAGACACGGCCCAGACUCCUACGGGAGGCAGCAGUGGGGAAUAUUGCACAAUGGGGGAAACCCUGAUGCAGCCAUGCCGCGUGUGUGAAGAAGGCCUUCGGGUUGUAAAGCACUUUCAGUUGUGAGGAAAAGUUAGUAGUUAAUACCUGCUAGCCGUGACGUUAACAACAGAAGAAGCACCGGCUAACUCCGUGCCAGCAGCCGCGGUAAUACGGAGGGUGCGAGCGUUAAUCGGAAUUACUGGGCGUAAAGCGCACGCAGGCGGUUUGUUAAGCUAGAUGUGAAAGCCCCGGGCUCAACCUGGGACGGUCAUUUAGAACUGGCAGACUAGAGUCUUGGAGAGGGGAGUGGAAUUCCAGGUGUAGCGGUGAAAUGCGUAGAUAUCUGGAGGAACAUCAGUGGCGAAGGCGACUCCCUGGCCAAAGACUGACGCUCAUGUGCGAAAGUGUGGGUAGCGAACAGGAUUAGAUACCCUGGUAGUCCACACCGUAAACGCUGUCUACUAGCUGUUUGUGACUUUAAGUCGUGAGUAGCGAAGCUAACGCGAUAAGUAGACCGCCUGGGGAGUACGGCCGCAAGGUUAAAACUCAAAUGAAUUGACGGGGGCCCGCACAAGCGGUGGAGCAUGUGGUUUAAUUCGAUGCAACGCGAAGAACCUUACCUA
rnacentral:rRNA from 1 species